rnacentral:lncRNA from 1 species
UAAAAACACAAUCUCCUAGAGCAUUUAUUGAAGAGGAAGAAAAGUUCUAAGAGGAAGAGAAGUAGGAGAGAGGUAAGGCAUGUAUUCUUUUUUGAGGAAUACAUUUUACCUGCUGCUGGGCUGUCCACCACUACCACUGCCACUUGGACCUCUGCGGAGCUGAGCCAAGUGGGCAUCUUCAGCACCACCCUGGGCUCCCCCCUGCCACUCCUGGCCUCCUGGGCUGCACCAGUACCUGGAUCCACACUGCAGAGGCCCGGGGGGGAGUCAUAAAGUCCAUUGUUCUGAGAUCUAAAAGGUACAGCAGAAUUGAACAACAGUGACAGGGUCUCGCUGAGGCUCCUUGAUGAAAAUUGAGCCCACUGGAAAAGUGAAGAAAAUCUCUGCAAUAAAGGCACACCAAACCACCAUAGUUCACUGUAGCUGGUAAGUUGGAGGGAUCGAAAUCUCCCACCAGAACUUGGA